rnacentral:rRNA from 1 species
ACGGGAGGCAGCAGUGGGGAAUAUUGGACAAUGGGGGAAACCCUGAUCCAGCGACGCCGCGUGAGUGAAGAAGUAUUUCGGUAUGUAAAGCUCUAUCAGCAAGGAAGAAAAUGACGGUACUUGACUAAGAAGCUCCGGCUAAAUACGUGCCAGCAGCCGCGGUAAUACGUAUGGAGCAAGCGUUAUCCGGAUUUACUGGGUGUAAAGGGCGCGUAGGCGGGGAUGCAAGUCAGAUGUGAAAUCUAUGGGCUUAACCCAUAAACUGCAUUUGAAACUGUAUCUCUUGAGUGUCGGAGAGGUAGAUGGAAUUCCUAGUGUAGCGGUGAAAUGCGUAGAUAUUAGGAGGAACACCAGUGGCGAAGGCGAUCUACUGGACGAUAACUGACGCUGAGGCGCGAAAGCGUGGGGAGCAAACAGGAUUAGAUACCCUGGUA